AGACGGACUUGGUUGGCCUGACCAACCCUAGUUGGCAUUAAUUAUGCAAAUGAUUAUUUUUGGAUGGCCUGUGAAUCCGACC
rnacentral:pre_miRNA from 1 species